GUGCUCGCUUCAGCAGCGCAUAUGCUAAAAUAGGAAUGAUACUGAGAUUAGCAUGGCCCCUUCGCCAGGAUGAUAUGCAAAUUCUUAAAGCAUUCCAUUUUUUU
rnacentral:snRNA from 1 species